UGAAAUCAAUAAGACACAGAAAGAUAAAUAUGCCCCGUUCCUGAAAUUCAAAGGAGACAGGAGCAUGCGGAGGUUCCCUGAGCCCCUACCAGGGGCCAACGUCAAUCAUUCUCACUUUGGGGACCACAAUUCCCAGUCUCUUCUAGGAGUCAACACCAAACCGCAUCAGAAGUGAAAUUUCCCCUCAUUAUCACACCCUGGGAAAACAGCUAAGAGCUAGGCAAAGGUAGAAACCAAAAAAAGUGAAAGUCCGAUCUUCAGGAGCAGUUUGUACAGCCGCGUUCCCAGCAGCACUACUAACAACAGCCAAAAGGUGGACGCCACUCAAAUGUCCAUCCAUGAAGAAUAGAUAAACAAAAUGUGGAGCAUCCUCAGAACAGACUGUAUUCCGCACUCAUUCUUAAAAAGGAAGGACAUUCUACCUCCUGCUGCAGUAUGUAGGAGCCUUGGGGACAUCAUACAAAUAUUGCGUGAUUCCGUUUCUCUGUCAUCCUCAGAACAUAAAAUCCACAGACAGAAAGCAGAGUCGUGGGUUCGGGGACUGGAGGAGGGAGACGGGGAGUGAAGGUGUCCUAGGCACAGAGUUUCAGUUUUGCAGGAUGAAAACAGUUCUGGGGACCGAGGGUGGUGAAGGACGAUGGUGGUGAAGGACAAUGUAAGCCCAUGUCAACACUCCAUUGGUCCCAACUGUACGCUUAAAAUA